UACGUAGGGGGCAAGCGUUGUCCGGAUUUAUUGGGCGUAAAGAGCGUGUAGGCGGUUAGGUAGGUCCGUUGUGAAAACUCGAGGCUCAACCUCGAGACGCCGAUGGAAACCAUCUAACUAGAGUCCGGAAGAGGAGAGUGGAAUUCCUGGUGUAGCGGUGAAAUGCGCAGAUAUCAGGAAGAACACCCGUGGCUAAGGCGACUCACUGGACAUGUAUUGACGCUGAGGUACGAAAGCGUGGGGAGCAAACAGG
rnacentral:rRNA from 1 species